AGCAGCCGCGGUAAUUCCAGCUCCAAUAGCGUAUAUUAAAGUUGUUGCAGUUAAAAAGCUCGUAGUUGAAUUUCGGGAUCAAUAUGUCGGUCGUGCUCUUUGGUACGUACUGGUGUCAUUGUUCCCCUCCUUUCUGACGAACCAUGAUGUCAUUCCAUUUGGUGUUAUGGGGAGUUAGGACUGUUACUUUGAAAAAAUUGAGUGUUUAAAGCAGGUAUUAGCUUGAAUACAUUAGCAUGGAAUAAUGAAAUAGGACGUUCGAUCCUAUUUUGUUGGUUUCUAGGAUCAACGUAAUGAUUAAUAGGGAUAGUUGGGGGCAUUAGUAUUCAAUUGUCAGAGGUGAAAUUCUUGGAUUUAUUGAAGACUAACUACUGCGAAAGCAUUUGCCAAGGAUGUUUUCAUUAAUCAAGAACGAAAGUUAGGGGAUCGAAGACGAUCAGAUAC
rnacentral:rRNA from 1 species